GGUCUAAUGGUCUAGUGGUAUGAUUCUCGCUUCGGGCACACCGAAGUCCUCGAGCUAAGCUUGAUAUGCGAGAGGCCCCGCGUUCGAAUCGCGGUUAGACCC